rnacentral:tRNA from 1 species
GCUGGUAUGGUGUAUUGGAUGCACAAGGGUCUUCUAAGCCCUCAAGGGUUGGUUCGAAUCCAACUACCAGUACCA